rnacentral:rRNA from 1 species
UACGUAGGGUGCAAGCGUUUAAUCGGAAUUACUGGGCGUAAAGCGUGCGCAGGCGGUUGUGCAAGACAGAUGUGAAAUCCCCGGGCUCAACCUGGGAAUUGCUUUGUGACUGCACGGCUAGAGUGUGUCAGAGGGGGGGUAGAAUUCCACGUGUAGCAGUGAAAAUGCGUAGAGAUGUGGAGGAAUACCGAUGGCGAAGGCAGCCCCCCUGGGAUAACACUGACGCUCAUGCACGAAAAGCGUGGGGGAGCAAACAGG